rnacentral:lncRNA from 7 species
AGAGCACACAGGUGCUUCAUCUGACCUGGUAACCCUGACUCUGCCCACACAAGCUAGGGCUGCCUCAGCUGGUGGGAGCACAGUGUCCUCUCCACCUCAACACCAGUCAGAGGCACAUGCUGUGAGCUUUGGGGUGCACUGCUCUGAUGGAGGAAGCGAAUGACCCCAUGUCUCACCUCCUGCAAGUGGUGUGAGUGGGAGUGAGAGUUCAGAAAUUUAAUAGCCAAUACAGAUAUCAUAAAAGCCUGACUGUUGUUUGUGGUCAACGGUGCAGUUUUCUUUGAGCAGUGAGGAAGAGAAAUGUGUCUGUGUGUGAUGGAGAGUGGCAAUCAGUACUAAGAUGUGCACCCAGUUUGUUGGGAAAAGUAAUGGGAUAUAAAGGAAAGCAGGAGCAGAGUGAAGGAAGCACAGAAGAGCUGAUGGGAAGCCCCUGAGACUCAGAGGCAAUCUCUGUUCUCCCUUGCCAGCAUGCUGCAGUGUGAUGGAUAAGCGUCUAAAACAUGGGAAAACCUGAAGCAAGGAAGCACUCCUAUCCCUGAUGAAGAUGCAUCAUCACUGGGCUUGGUUCAAAAACCAUUAAAGCUUCUGAGUGGUUCCAGUGGGAAUGAGAACAACCCUUUUUCUGAAGAAAUAGAGGAGGGCUGUCGAUCAUCGUUCUGAAAAACCCUGCAAGUGAUGGACUGUGUCACUGUGAGCUGUGGAAUUGUCACUCCUUCCUCUUGGUUGGGGAGGCAUUGCAGAGUGGUGAUAAGCUGGGGUCAGAGCUGGUGGAGAUUGGAAACUAAAAAAGGACAUAAAUCUGGGAUGGGAUAGAAGUGGGGAAGGUGGAUCCUUGAAUAGAGAGCUGUCCAUUGACACAUCACUCAGUGGUCCCUCUUGCUGUUUUAAGCAGCACAAGCAAAAUCCUAUGGGCCACUCCAUAGCUGGGAAAGCUGCCGUUGAGAGCUGCCUGAAUAAGGGAUGAGCCUGGGCUGAUCUCCUCAGCAUAAUCCAGCCCUCCUGGAUGUGACUGAGGGAUGUGGAGGAGGCGAAAGACACUUGAAACAAGAUAGCUUAAAACCAUUUUGUAUCUAAUUUGCAGCAAAGUUUUCUUUCAUCAUUUCCCUCUCUUCCGCCCCAACCUCCCUAUUUGUCUUAUCAAAUCUUGGCAGAGAUAGCUGUGCGGAAUAGGGAGCUGCUGUUGGGAAGCAGUUUUUCCAGCGGGGUAAUAAAGCAGUCUUACUGC